CCCUUCAGAAUUUCCCAGCAAUGUUGGCCCACGAUCCCCAGCUUCCUCCAAUCCCCCUGGAAACACAGAGUGGGACAAUGAGUUUCCCAACAGAGAGUGUGGGAUCAACCACUGCAGUACUCUGCCAGGAGACAAGUCUCUCUACCUCACCUAGAACCACAAACUUGUAAAUGGCGGCUGAAGGAAUGGACAUUUCCGAGAGUCUACAGCACUGGACAUCUAGAACAAGGAUGGCACAGUCACCACGAAGAGCAAACACAAGUGGUUUGUUCUUAGCAAGCUUUAAAGAAUUAGCUUGGUUUGCAGAUAUAAACUUGGUGAAGGCAAGAAGCCAAGCUCCCGUACCUUCUAAAGAACAAAAGAGACACCUCUUGUGGCCACCAUAUUUGCUAUGGAAAGCAUGGGGAUGAGUUCAUCCAGGCAUAUACAAUAUGUAAAGAGGUUUGUUAAUAUUGUAUAGUUGAAAUAACCCCCCCCCCUCCCCCACCAAAACCAAACAAUACUUCUUAUACGUGGAAAACAACAAAUACCUAAAUAAAAUGUGCAAAUAUACAAAAAAAAAAAACAUGGAAAUGUGAUAAAAAAAUAAAAGUAUGAAAAAUAUAAUUUGUUGAAUAGUUGUAAGUAGAUUUAUCAUGUGGUUUAGGACUGUGCUCAAGACAUCUUUACAAUUUUCUUUGUGUAUAGAAA